UCGUUCACAUCCGAGAGAGAGAGAGAGAGACAAACAGAGAGCAGAGAGAUUUUUGAAACGAAAGUUCGCCCUUGGGAGAAACAUUUCACCGUCUUAGCUCCACAACUGGCGAAAAAAUCCUGUGAGCGAAAUAAUCUCCCUCUAUCUUGUUGGUUUUAACUCUUCCGAACGCCACUCACCAUUUCUAUCUGUGGUUUGCAUUCCAGUUCGCCUGUAGAGCCAUGUCGAGAUUCCCCUGUUUGACUCUGUUUCAGGAUCUAGGAGCUUGAAUUGUUGAAUUCCCGCUCACUCUCCUCUUAUCGGUGUGCUUCUUCAUCAUUGACACCUCACAGGAUCUCUGCUCUUAUAUUUGAUCACUGGCCGAGGGGGUAUAUUCGUUUCGAACAAAGUUACAAUCGGGUCUCUUGUUACGGUUCUUCUUAUAUGUAAAGAAAUAGGUAUAGAUAUAAGGUCGUGAUUAUUGAAAAUUGGCAUCUAAUGAGUCUGUUUUGAUUAUUUGGGUCUGAUGUUUGCUGAUUGAAAUGAUCAGAAACAAGUAGCACUUGAAAUCUCAUACAUGAGUCCCCUUUAGCUGAGAAUCGCUUCACCUAUUCGAUAAUUGCCACAACCAAGCUUGUUUGGAUUUGCCUCUGAUUUUGGUUUGUUCCGAGAUUAUAUGAAAGUGUAUCAUAGGAUAGAAAUCUUUCAUUGAUUGUGAACCACUAUCCUUUUAUUAUCCUGCCAUUGCUGAGGCCGAAUGUAAGUGUGCUUUUGUUGUGUGUCUCCUGCACAUUAUUGCUCAAUUCUGUUAAUCAGAGUCCA
rnacentral:lncRNA from 1 species